CGGCAACAGCUCAAAUUUAAAAUCUGGCCUCUUCGGGGCCCGAGUUGUAAUUUGUAGAGGAUGCUUUUGACAAGGUGCCUUCCGAGUUCCCUGGAACGGGACGCCAUAGAGGGUGAGAGCCCCGUCUGGUCGGAUACCGCGUCUCUGUAAAGCUCCUUCGAC
rnacentral:rRNA from 1 species